UACGAAGGGUGCAAGCGUUACUCGGAAUUACUGGGCGUAAAGCGUGCGUAGGUGGUUCGUUAAGUCUGUCGUGAAAGCCCCGGGCUCAACCUGGGAAUGGCGAUGGAUACUGGCGGGCUAGAGUGCGGUAGAGGAGAGUAGAAUUCCCGGUGUAGCAGUGAAAUGCGUAGAGAUCGGGAGGAACAUCAGUUGCGAAGGCGGCUCUCUGGACCAGCACUGACACUGAGGCACGAAAGCGUGGGGAGCAAACAGG
rnacentral:rRNA from 1 species